UACGUUUCUCCCUUUUUUCCCGCAGGUAUUCCAAAGGAAACAGGCCGACCAACUCUAUCAUUCUUCAAGAAGCUGAGCCCGUACACACUGGGAGCGCUGAUAGCGGAUGUAUGAGCACAAGAUCUUUCAUCCAGGGUGUGAGUGUGGAGAUCACAGUUUCGACCAGUGGGGAGUGGAACUGGGCAACAGCUCUGUGCAAGACGACUUGAGGCCGAGCUGAAGGACGCCGCGAGGUCCACUCCACGACGCCUCCACCAACCGGACUUCAUCAAACUUCCUCAAGAAAAACUCCGCCUGAUCCCCCCCCCCUUAAAGGUCCCCUAUUAUGACUUGUUUUCCAUCAAUAUAUUAUACGGUCUCAGAUAUA